GCGGUUGUAGCUCAGUGGUGGAGUGCUUGCCUCCCAUGCGUGAGGCCCUGGGUUCAAACCUCAGCACCACA
rfam:Ictidomys tridecemlineatus contig074493, whole genome shotgun sequence.